UACGUAGGGGGCGAGCGUUGUCCGGAUUUAUUGGGCGUAAAGAGCGUGUAGGCGGCCAGGUAGGUCUGCUGUGAAAACUCGAGGCUCAACCUCGAAGACCGGUCGGCGGAAACCAUCUGGCUAGAGUCCGGAAGAGGAGAGUGGAAUUCCUGGUGUAGCGGGUGAAAUGCGUAGAUAUCGGGAGGAACACCUGUGGCGAAAGCGGCUCACUGGACCACAACUGCACGCUGAUGCGCGAAAGCGUGGGGAGCGAACAGG
rnacentral:rRNA from 1 species